rnacentral:lncRNA from 1 species
UGCCCGGAAAAGCCAUCAGUAGCAAUAUGAAAUUUCUCUGUUGGAACUGUCAGGGACUCGGCUCAUCCCUGACGGUUCAAGCCCUAAAGACCCUCGUGGUCAAAGAGAAGCCAGAUGUGAUUUUUUUGAUGGAAACAAAGAAUAGAGAGCAAGUUAUUUCACGGGUUCAACGCAGAAUUCAGUUUUCUCAAUCCUAUGUAAUUAACCCAGAGGGCAAAGCAGGAGGGCUGACCUUGUUAUGGCAGUCUAAUAUAUCUAUAAGUGUAGAACUAGCAACUCCAGACUUCAUCGACACUAUCUGUACAGACACAGGGAAAGGUAUACCGAUGAGACUGACCUAUGUCCAUGCCCCAGCAACUCCUCAAUUGCGCCUACCAUUAUGGACAGCACUUCGCCGAAUUGCAGCGGCUAAUUCCUUACCUUGGGUCUGCGCCGGGGACUUCAAUGAAAUCACCUAUCCAUGGGAGAAGGUUGGUCAGAGAUCCCCUGACUUUUCUCGUAUGCAUUCAUUUCGAGAAGUCCUACAUGAUUGUGCAUUGCUGGAAAUUGAAAGCAAGGGCUGCGCGUUUACCUGGACGAAUCAACGUGAGGGGGAUGAGCUGGUGAAAGAAAGAUUAGACCGCGUUCUUUGUACCUGGAAUUGGAGAAUCUUAUUUCCAGAGGCUGAAGUCUUCGCUUUACCUGCAGUUGGAUCGGAUCAUAGUCCCCUGGUGCUAAAUACUGAAGUUAGAAAACCUCGUGCUGGCAAGACCUUCAAAUUUGAAGCAUAUUGGUUAGAGAACCACACCUGUCGGAAUGUCAUUGCCAAAGCCUGGUCUUCCGUUCCAGCUAGGGGUAACACCCUACAAUAUAAAUUAACACAGGUUAGAAGGGCUCUUUUGCAGUGGAGUAAAAGUACAUUCUCUCAAGCUCAUGAACAGAUUGCAAAUCUACAACAACAGUUGCAAUUGUUAACAAAUCAGACCCAUCCUUCCAACGACAAACAGCUAGUCCAUGAAUUGAAAGCAAAGUUACACAAUGCGUGGAAGCAGGAGGAACAGUAUUGGGCUAUGCGGUCAAGGAUAAACUGGCUUCGGUGGGGUGACAGAAAUACUAAAUUCUUUCACGCGACAACUAUUCAACGCAGAAAUAGAAACAGAAUUAGAAUGUUGCUGGAUGACAAUCAACAAUGGGUCCGUGAUGACAAUUGUCUUAAAGAAAUGACACUGGCGUUCUUCUCCAAGCUAUACCAAACUGAAGGCUCUCGAGCUUAUGUACCAAUUCUAGAGAAGUGUGACAGUAUGGUAACCUCUGUGAUGAAUGAUCACCUCAUCUCAAAUGUUACUCGUGAGGAAGUGAAACAAGCCGCUUUUCAGUUGGGGAAAACUCAAGCACCGGGUCCUGAUGGUUUUAAUGGUCUCUUUUAUCAACAUCACUGGGAUAUCUUAGAAGAUCAGGUAUUUUCUACAGUACAGCUAUUUUUUCAAUCUGGUAUCUUGUCCCCGGAGCUAAACCGUACCAAUCUAACACUAGUGCCUAAAGUUCCCACUCCAGAAGGUCUCGACCAGUACCGUCCUAUCAGUCUUUGCAACUAUGCAUACAAGAUAAUAUCCAAGGUGCUAGCCAACAGACUGAAACCUCUUCUUCCUGAUCUCAUCUCAAAAGAACAAAGUGCUUUUGUAAGCGGACGUCAGAUACAAGACAAUAUUUUAAUUGUACAGGAAGUCCUUCAUCAACUCAAGACGAGAAAACGUAAGCGAAAAUUUCAGGCUAUUGUCAAAAUGGACAUGAAAAAGGCCUAUGAUCGUGUUGAAUGGGACUUUCUCAGAGAUUAUCUACUCAAGAUCGGCUUUCACUCCACAUGGGUACAAUGGGUUAUGCAGUGCAUCACUACGACAUCCAUUAGUGUCAAAUUUAAUGGGGAACAAUUGAACUACUUUCAUCCGACGCGUGGCCUUCGACAGGGAGAUCCUCUUUCCCCUUAUUUGUUUAUUCUAUUGGCAAAUCUGUUGACUACCCUUAUUCACCAAGCUGUCCGGAUGGGAAACUUAAAAGGUAUACAGCUUAACAGGUGGUGUCCAACUCUGACUCAUUUGUUUUUUGCUGACGAUGCUAUUUUCUUCCUAGAUGGGUCAGUAUUGGAAUGCCAAGAAUUGGCCAAUAUCCUCAAUCAGUAUUGUCUUGCAACGGGACAGGCAAUUAAUAGAAAUAAGUCUGGCAUCUUUUUCAGCAAACCUUGCCCAGAUGUUCUUAAAAUUAGAUUGGCACAGGAACUCAGAAUCCCCGUGCUGGACAAAACUGGUAAAUACCUAGGUAUUCCGUCGGACUGGGGAAGAUCUAAACGUGAUAUGUUUGCGUGGAUUCUAGGGAAAGUCAAUGCUAAGCUAGAUGGAUGGAAAGAAAAUCUUAUGUCGAAAGGUGGAAAGGAGAUUCUGAUAAAAAGUGUAGUACAGGUGAUCCCCCAAUAUGCUAUGUCAAUUUUUCAAAUCCCUGUGUCGCUUUGCAAAAGUAUCGAAAGGAAAAUUGCGCGCUUUUGGUGGCAAAAUGAUAGCAAAAGAUCAGGAAUACACUGGAAGAGUUGGGAGGCACUGAAGAUUAGGAAGGAAUUGGGAGGACUUGGGUUUAGAGACCUUGUCGACUUCAAUAAAGCUAUGUUGGGUAAACAGGCCUGGCGGCUAUUGCAACAACCUACUUCAUUAUGGGCUACUCUAUUUAAAGGCUUGUAUUAUCCUGACCAGGAUUUUUUAAAAGCCUUACCGAGUUCUAAGCCUUCUUGGGGUUGGCGGAGUCUCCUAGUAGGACGGGACACUAUAUCAUCAAAACUCCAAUGGUCGAUAGGAGAUGGCACUAAAAUAAAGAUUCGCGAACACUGUUGGCUUCCGACAGGUAAGUUACGAGGAAAUGCAACUGUCGACGAACCUAAGAGAGUUGCUGAUCUGAUUGUUCCAGAAUCAAAUCAAUGGAAUAGGCCAUUACUAGAUCAUCUCUUUGAUGUUGAGACAAUUGCUGAAAUUAUGAAGAUUCCAAUACGACCUCAGUAUAUGACUGAUCAUAUCAUUUGGCCGUGCACAGCUAGUGGUACGUAUACUGUUAAAAGUGCUUAUAGUUUUCUUCGACAGGAUCAAAAUACUUCUAUCCUAAACAGAGCUUCCUCAUCCUAUCAACCACCACCGAGCCUCUGGAAAAAACUCUGGAAACUUCAGAUCCCCCCCAAACUUAAAUUUUUCCUUUGGUCCUUACACCAGAAUGCAUUGCCCACUAAAGACAAUCUCUUCCGCAGAAACAUUUGUGCUGAUCCUAUCUGCUCUCUCUGUUCAACUCAACAACCAGAAACCCUGGAACACUUAUUUUUACUAUGUCCAUGGACAUCACAAGUGUGGUCUCAUUCCCAGAUCAAUAUACCAAUUCUUCCCACAGAAAUUCACCGAUUAGAUGAAUGGCUAGCAAGUCAUAUGAAUGUAGGGCAGAGUGUACCUGGCAUGGAGUUUCUCGUCAAUCUAGUAUGGCAAAUAUGGAAAUCGCGCAAUCGAUUCAUCUUCAACCAGCAAACUCCUGAUCCUCUUCAAAUUGUUGCAACCGCAACUGAACAAGCUCGACUGGCCCGCGAUGUCUUCUCCCAUGUCCCGGUGGAUGGCUCAGGUUGUAGAGAUCCCCAUUCUCGCACAGGCAGCUCAACAGGAUUAGCAACACAGUUGCCUACCGUGGUACCCACCAGCGGAGAUUCGACUGCCUCAACGCGACGAGAACCCGAUCCUGGUUCAGCUUGGAGGCCCCCCGAUCCCGGUGCCCUGAAAAUUAAUAUUGAUGGGGCUUUUAACCCAGGAAGCACUACUGGAUCAACUGCCUAUAUCUGUCGUGAUCACGAAGGGAAGUUGAUUGAAGGUUUCACACGAACACUAUCUGCUCAUUCGGCAUUAGAGGUAGAAAUCCAGGCGUUGAUAGUUGCCCUGCAGCACUUGAAGCAUGAGCAUCACUCUGAGACUUCUCUUAUCUUUGAAACCGAUUGUCUUGCGCUGGUAAUGGCAAUGAACGUCCCUCAGACGUCUCCAUGGUUGGUCAAACCCUUGAUUGCUGAAGCCGCAGCUUUGCUG